UAAGUGUUGAUCAGUCUCAUCUCGAUCUUCUUACUGACGGAAUCUUUCGAUUCAAGUAUGCUAGGUUUCAUCUACUUUAUCAUUCUUAGAUCAGAUUGAAGAUCUAUUGAUUCGAUUCAAGUAUGAUUAAAAUGAUUUUUGUGCUUGGAGAACUUGGUGGCCGAGAUGAAUAUUCCCUAGUGAAAGCCCUGAAACAGGGGAAAAUCAGUAAACCUGUGGUUGCUUGGGUCAGUGGAACUUGUGCACGUCUCUUCAAGUCAGAAGUACAAUUUGGUCAUGCGGGAGCCAAAAGUGGUGGUGAGAUGGAGUCUGCACAAGCCAAGAAUCAAGCACUUCACGAUGUUGGAGCUGUUCUCCCAACUUCAUUUGAAGCAUUUGAAACUGUGA